rnacentral:rRNA from 1 species
AUACGUAGGGGGCGAGCGUUGUCCGGAAUUAUUGGGCGUAAAGGGCGCGUAGGCGGUGUCGUAAGUCAGGUGGUAAAGGCACGGGCUCAACCGGUGUUACACACUUGAUACUACGUUGCUAGAGUGCAGGAGAGGGGAGUGGAAUUCCAGGUGUAGCGGUGAAAUGCGUAGAUAUCUGGAAGAACACCAGUGGCGAAGGCGGCUCUCUGGACUGUAACUGACGCUGAGGCGCGAAAGCUGGGGGAGCAAACAGGAUUAGAUACCCUGGUAGUCCCAGCCGUAAACGAUGAACACUAGGUGUAGGGGGUAUCGACCCCCCCUGUGCCGCAGUUAACGCAAUAAGUGUUCCGCCUGGGGAGUACGGCCGCAAGGUUGAA